AUGGACUGGAGCUGGAGAGCCCUCUUCCUGGUGGCAGUAGCUACAGGUGUCCACUCCCAGGUGCAGCUGGUGCAGUCUGGGUCUGAGGUAAGGAGACCUGGGUCCACAGUAAAGGUCUCCUGCAAGGCGUCAGGAUACACCUUCAGCAGCUACUCUAUGCAUUGGGUGCAACAGGCUCCCAGGCAAGGCCUUGAGUGGCUAGGGAGUGUUUUACCUGCUAUUGAUAUUGCAAACUACGCACAGAAGUUCCAGGGCAGAGCCACCAUUACCGCAGACCAGUCCACAAGCACAGCCUACUUGGAGCUGAAGAGCUUGAGAACUGAAGACACGGCCGUGUAUUACUGUGCAAAAGACACAGUGAGGGGAAGUCAGUAUGAGCCCAGACACAAACCUCUCUGA